rnacentral:rRNA from 1 species
ACGUAGGAGGCGAGCGUUAUCCGGAUUCACUGGGCGUAAAGCGCGUGCAGGUGGUUCGGUAAGUUGGGCGUGAAAUCUCCUGGCUUAACUAGGAGAGGUCGUUCAAUACUACCAGACUUGAGAGCAGUAGAGGAAAGUGGAAUUCCCGGUGUAGUGGUGAAAUGCGUAGAUAUCGGGAGGAACACCAGUGGCGAAGGCGACUUUCUGGACUGUUUCUGACACUCAGACGCGAAAGCUAGGGUAGUAAACGGGAUUAGAGACCCCGGUAAUCCUAGCCGUAAACGAUGUGAACUUGGCGUUGGUGGAUUAAACCCCAUCAGUGCCGAAGCUAACGCGAUAAGUUCACCGCCUGGGGACUACGAUCGCAAGAUUA